rnacentral:rRNA from 1 species
UACGGAGGAUCCGAGCGUUAUCCGGAUUUAUUGGGUUUAAAGGGUGCGUAGGCGGGAGAUUAAGUCGGCGGUGAAAUUUUGCAGCUCAACUGUAAAAGUGCCUUCGAAACUGGUUUCCUUGAGUGUAGAUGAAGUAGGCGGGAUUUGUGGUGUAGCGGUGAUAUGCAUAGAUAUCACGAGGAACUCCGAUUGCGCAGGCAGCUUACUAAACUACUACUGACGCUCAGGCACGAAGGCGUGGGGAUCAAACAGGAUUAGAUACCCUGGUA